GACGAACGCUGGCGGCGUGCUUAACACAUGCAAGUCGAACGGAAAGGCCCCAGCUUGCUGGGGUACUCGAGUGGCGAACGGGUGAGUAACACGUGGGUGAUCUGCCCUGCACUCUGGGAUAAGCCUGGGAAACUGGGUCUAAUACCGGAUAGGACCGUGCUUUAGUGUGUGCGGUGGAAAGUUUUUCGGUGCAGGAUGAGCCCGCGGCCUAUCAGCUUGUUGGUGGGGUAAUGGCCUACCAAGGCGGCGACGGGUAGCCGGCCUGAGAGGGUGUACGGCCACAUUGGGACUGAGACACGGCCCAGACUCCUACGGGAGGCAGCAGUGGGGAAUAUUGCACAAUGGGCGCAAGCCUGAUGCAGCGACGCCGCGUGGGGGAUGACGGCCUUCGGGUUGUAAACCCCUUUCGGCAGGGACGAAGCUUUUGUGACGGUACCGGCAUAAGAAGCACCGGCUAACUACGU
rnacentral:rRNA from 1 species